ACUCUAGAAUAAGAACCCAACGAUUUGGUUAGGCAAAGUUUUAUUUCCAUUCAAAUUUUUUGUGGGAAUAGAAAUAUUCUAAAUUUUAUUCUGAUUCUGAUUUCGAUUAUGAACCACUAGGAUUUCUAUUCUAAUCCAUUUCAAUUUCGAUUUCAAUUCUCAUUCUGGUCGCUUGCCAAUGACAUUUUACAUGCAAACGAGUACGCAAGAAUGGAUCUAAAUGGCUAAAUCAUAUUAUUCCAGAUUCCCAUUUUAGCAAACCAAAUAUCACCUCGCUAUAAAGCAGAUGUUCUCGUGGGAAUGGUUUUAAGUAAACCCGGUGCGGUCCAAAGCCAGCGGUCAAGAAAUUCCUCUCUGCCGAGGGUGCGCUAAAAUCUAGCACAUUUUUACAGCGCCGAGCUCGGAGGCCCCGGGAGCCACACGCACUCGCAAUAUUUUGUGGCGCCGUGCUUCUUUCUCGAUCCCAAUGACAGACCAUUCAGUAUGCAGUUCCAAUACUCACCGCCGACACUGCAAAAACUCCUGUGGCGGCACGCAGUCUCUCCUCCCAAGAAUCAACUAAUCGUGCCAAUCUAUGCCCGCUAUCCAAAAGCAGCAAGAAUGGAGAUAAUAAAGUUGGACAUUUUGCCCCCUUCUCAAGUCCAUCAGAUCCUGCUACAAUUGAUGAAAAGGAUGGAACUGUCCCACUUUCAGGAAAGCCCUAUUUGCAUGCGUUAUGACAAAGUCUCAAGUGCAGGCCCCCUUUCAAAUGACGAUUCCAAAGAAUUUCUGGACGCUACUUCCAUCUGCCUGCAUUCCUGCAGUCCUCUGUUACCGAAACAAGACCUGGGAGAUGAGAUACUACGGUGAUCGAAACUUGAAAAGAUUUGAUAGUGGAUGGAAACAUUUUGCAG